rnacentral:rRNA from 1 species
GUAGGGAAUAUUGGACAAUGGGCGAAAGCCUGAUCCAGCCAUGCCGCGUGAUAGAUGAAGGCCCUCUGGGUUGUAAAUAUCUUUUAUCUGGGAAGAAACUCCUCUAUUCUUAGAGGCCUGACGGUACCAGAGGAAUAAGCACCGGCUAACUCCGUGCCAGCAGCCGCGGUAAUACGGAGGGUGCAAGCGUUAUCCGGAUUCACUGGGUUUAAAGGGUGCGUAGGCGGGUUGAUAAGUCAGUGGUGAAAGCUCCGGGCUUAACUUGGAAACUGGCAUUGAUACUGUCAGUCUUGAAUGUCGUAGAGGUAAGCGGAAUGUUGCAUGUAGCGGUGAAAUGCUUAGAUAUGUUACAGAACACCAAUUGCGAAGGCAGCUUACUAUGCGAUAAUUGACGCUGAGGCACGAAAGCGUGGGGAGCAAACAGGAUUAGAUACCCUUGUAGUCC